GACGAGCCCCACGAACGUUAUUCGGAAUUACUGGGCUUAAAGGGUGCGUAGGCUGCGCGGAAAGUUGGGUGUGAAAUCCCUCGGCUCAACCGAGGAACUGCGCCCAAAACUGCCGUGCUCGAGGAAGAUAGAGGUAAGCGGAACUUACGGUGGAGCGGUGAAAUGCGUUGAUAUCGUAAGGAACACCUGUGGCGAAAGCGGCUUACUGGGUCUUUUCUGACGCUGAUGCACGAAAGCUAGGGGAGCAAACGGG
rnacentral:rRNA from 1 species